AUGUUUUCCUCCUUCCUUUUUAGGCACCGACAGCAUCUCCAGCAUCAUGUCCAUCUCUGUUGCGUCUCCUGCUGGUGCCAUGGUGAUGUCCAAGCUUGCGGAUGCCUCUAUGGCCUCCACCUUCUCUCCUUCGAUCACAUCUCCAUGAAUGCCAAACUGUGUUGGGUCGGGCAUGUUUCCCAGGAUGUCGGUCACCUUCAUGUUCUUGGCGCCCUCCACCAGGCCACCGCCAAACAUGGACGACCAGAUGACAUGGAAGAAACCAAAGAUGAGACCGUAGAUGCCUUUGAAGAAGCCGGUGAAGAGCAUCCAGAGGAAGGAGAAGAAGCCUGCGAUCAUCUCUCUGAUGCUCAGUUUCUUGACUUUCUUGAACUGUUUCUUCAUGUUUUUCAGGGAAAACUUUUGACGGACGUGUGCGAUCUUGUUCUUGACGGAGUGACACGCCGUGGUGAAGGCCGAGGCCGACUCCAAGGCGCCCUCCUCCUCUCCGGCCAACUCCUCCAGGAGGCUGUGUCCCUCCUCCUCCUCCUCCUCCUCAGGCUGUUCAACCGCAUCCGACUCAGAGAUCUGGGACGCCAGCUGCAUCUCAAAGAUCGUAUCCUCACAGAAGUUCACAAACAUCUCCAUCUUCUCGCUCUCUCCCCCCUCGUUGACCACAUCGAAGAUGAACUGCCGCUUGGACUCUUUGACCUGCGGCUUCUCCCACUGUUCCCGGCUCGACUCGCUGAUCUCAAAGUAAACCCUCUCGAUGCGCUUCGCGCUGCCCAUGAUUUCAAUGCGGCCCAGGUAGGGCUCGAAGUAGCUGAGCACGCUCUCCGCCAGAUCCAAGAAGGAGACCAGCCGGGAGUCGUGCGGCAUGUGUUCAGACAGGUUGGUCAGCAGCACGGCCACGUUGAAGCCGAUGUCUUUGGCCGGUUCGUGGAACCGCUCCACAAACUCUUUGUAAUUGAACAUGUCGUUCUCGUCGGCCUCCGCACACGAGAGCAGGAACUCGAUCUCAGACUGGUUGUACUGCUUCUGACUCUCCAUAGAUUUCUGGAACUCCUUCUUUGA
rnacentral:lncRNA from 1 species